rnacentral:rRNA from 1 species
UACGUAGGGUGCGAGCGUUUAAUCGGAAUUACUGGGCGUAAAGCGUGCGCAGGCGGGUUCGUUAAGUUCAGCUGUGAAAGCCCCCGGGGCUCAACCUGGGGAACUGCGGUUGAAACUGGCGAACUAGAAUCUGGCAGAGGGGGUGGAAUUUCCACGUGUAGCAGUGAAAUGCGUAGAGAUGUGGAGGAACACCGAUGGGCGAAGGGCAGCCCCCCUGGGGCUAAGAUUGACGCUCAGGCACGAAAGCGUUGGGGAGCAAACAGGG